CGGAGGUUUUUGGCCCAAAACAACGAGAGCGUUAGCCGGAGGUCUGACGGAGCAUUGAGCCGUCGGCGGUAAACGGGAGGAAUGGCGGCGGCGGCGGCGUCCCAUCUGGAGGGUGGCACGAAGCGGCGGCGGCGGAAGGACGAGGAAGUAGAAGCAGGCGCGGAGGCGGCAGAGGACCGCAUCUCGGAGCUGCCGGAGGCGCUGCGGCUGCACGUCCUCUGCCUGCUCCCGCUCAAAUCCGCCAUCCGCACGGGCGCGCUCUCCACCCGGUGGCGCUCCCUCUGGACGCACCGCUGGCCGGCGCCCUCCUCCCUCGACUUCCGCCUCGGCGUCGGCGACUCCCCGCACCCGCUCCUCGAAACCCUAGAGCGGCGCGGGCGGCGGCGCCUCCAGCGGUUCGCCCUCUCCUUCGGCAUCGGCGCGUUCAAGGCCGAGCACUUCCGCCGCUGCCUCGACCUCGCCGUCGCCUGCGCCGUGGAGGACCUGCAGGUCCACCGCGUGCACCACUUCUUCGCCCGCUUCUACAAGUUCCGGCUCCCGCUGGGCGACCCCCACCUCGCCCGCCUCUCGUUCCGCUUCAUCCGCGUCGACCUCCCCAACUCCUUCUCCGCCCGCUCCCACCCCUUCACCGCCCUCGAGGUCAUCCACCUCCGCUGCGUCCACAUCUCCGACGACACAGUCAGCAGUCUGGUCGCCGCGUGCCCCCUUCUCCACACCCUCGAUUUGCGCUACUGCGAAGGCCUCGACUCCGUCAGCGUCGCGGCGGCCGGGGCGCACCUUAGUAGCCUCACCGUUGCAGAGUGUGAUCCGUGCACCGACGUUGUUUUGGCCGAUGAGGCAUCCGGUCUGCGCUCAUUCCGCUACAGCGGCGCCUACAUGCCCGCCUACAGCAUCCCGGCCACCAUCACUAGUCUUGCUGACCUUUACAUCUGCUUCAGAGCAUCUAACCGCCGGCGACGCUUGUCCGGCACCAGAAUCCGGUUUUAUGGACAGGAGGCUUACGCUUGCGAGCUGCGCAGAAACUGGCUUCAACUACUAACCAGUCUGUCCAACCUCACCGUGCUUACUCUCUGCAGCAGUAUCCUACGGAGACUGUCUGCCAAAGCUCGUGCCAGAUUAGCUGCCACAGGCGCUGCACCGUGCAAAUUACUGAAUUUGAGAGAGCUUCAGCUACUGAUGUUCGAAGUGGAGAUCAACAACAUGAACGACAUUUACUCUUUCCUUGUGGCAUGCUGUGGCCCUCGUUUGGAGAGGCUAUUUGUGCAGCUUCCGACAAUCAAUUAUCCAUAUGAGCCAGAGGAUGAACCAUCAGGAUCAGAGUCAGAGGAAUUUGGAUCAAUGGGAGAGCUAUCAUACCAAGAGGCACAUGGGGAAGAUGAGCUGGAUGACGACUUGUCAGAAGGAGAAGCACCAGAGAAAGAUGGGCUAGAGGAACAGCUGUCAGAGGGAGAUGCCCUGGAGGAAGAUGAGUUAGAGGAAGAGUUGUCAGAGGGAGAAGAACUAGAGGAAGAGCUUUCAGAGGGAAAUGAACUAGUGGAAGAGUUGUCAGGGGGAGAGCCACCUGAGGAAAAGCAAUCACAGAAACAGGGGUCAAUGGAAGAGCAAUCUGAUGGAGGGCAAUCAGAGGAAGAGACACCAGAGCACAGCGAUGUCUUUGAGAACCUUAUGUUGCUCAAAAUGAUGAAUUUCAUGGGACGCUACAAUGAGAUGCAGCUAGUAAGCCUUGUGUUGAAUAAGGCUAUUAGUCUCAAGCAACUGAUACUAUUUACUCCCAAGAUUAAUCACCCAGAAGAGCUCCAGAAGGAUCAUAUGAAUACUUCCCAUUUGCUUGAAAGAAAACUAUUUUCUCUCAGAAAGGCCUCGCCAAAUGCUCAGAUAGUUCUCAGCGAGCCUGAUGAUAGUGCAGUCCAGCCGUUGCAUGAGGCUUUGGUCAAGAUUUACUGAUUUUUGUUGUUGUGGAGUUAUGAUCGGAUAAUGUGAAAUAUCAGAAACAAGCAACCAUUAGGUCAGGCCUCUCGAGCAUUUGGUGCCUUGCUGGUGUGGUCAUCAUGUAUAAACAAACAGCAUGGUGGAGUGGUCGCUGGUGGUUGUGUGCUGUUGUGGGUCAGGUUGUGUGCACCAAACCUCAACGAAGUUACCAAGUUACUCAGUUACUGAUCCCUCUUACAUUUCGCAUCAUCCGGUUGAUCCCAAUACUCAGUUACCGAUAACCAUCUUUGUUGCUAUGCUUUGAAGAGACUGUCUGCCAAGGCUCAUGCCAGAUCAGUUGCCAGAAACGCUGCACCAUGCAAAUUGCAGAAUUUGAGAGUGACAGCUACUGAUGUUUGAAACGGAGAUCAACAACAUGAACGACAUUUACUGUUUCCUCGUGGCCUGCUGUGGCCCUCGAUUGGAGAGGUUAAUUGUGCAGGUGCAUGCCAGCUGUUAUAUCUUCCAUUGCUUGAUAACCUUUGGUGAUGUCCACUGUUAACGAAAUUGCCUUAGGACCUUGACAAAAGCAUUCAGUUAGUAGCCAUUGUAUUGUUGCUUGCGCUUGAUGUGCUUAGUUAGUUUGAAUGCUUACUAUGCCCUCACCAGCUUCUGACAGGGAGUUAUCCAUAUGAGCCAGAGGAUGAACCAUCAGGAUUAGAAUCAGAGGAAAAUGGGUCAAUGCAAGAGUUAUCCGAGCAAGAGGCACCGGAGGAAGAUGAGCUGGGUGAAGACUUGUAAGAAGGAGAAGCACUGGAGAAAGAUACGCUGGAGGAAGAGCGCAUUUGCUCUGGAGGAAGAUGAGCUAGAGGAAGAGCAGACAGAGGGAGCUGUCAGAGGGAAAUGAACUAGAGGAGUGUCAGGGGGAGAGCCACCUGAGGAAAAGCACUCACAGAAACAGGGGUCAAUGGAACAGCUAUCUGAUGGAGGGCAAUCAGAGGGAGAGACACUAGAGGAUGGCAAUGGCUUUGAGAACCUUAUGUUGCUCAAUAUGAUGAAUUUCAUGGGGCGCGACAAUGAGAUGCAGCUAGUAAGCCUUGUGGUGAAGAAGUCUACUAGUCUCAAGCAACUGAUACUAUUUACUCCCAAGAUUAAUUACCUAGAAGAGCUCCAGAAGGAUCAUAUGAAUACUUGCCAUUUUCUUGAAAGAAAAAAACUAUGGCCUCUCAGAAAGGCCUCACCAAGUACAAUCCAGCCGUUGCACGAGGCUUUUGUCAAGAUUUACUGAUUUGUUUGUUGUGGAGUCAUGGUCAGACAAUAUGAAACAUCAGAAACUAGCAACCAUUAGGUAAGACAAAGAACAAGCUAGUCUGCAAGGUAGGCGGGAUGCUGUGUUCUGCAGUCCAUGAAGGAUCGUGGAGUAUGUCGUCUGUGCCUUCUAUUUUGCGGCUUAACUCUUUAAGACUCUUAUAAAAAUUAUCAUGAUUACCCAGUGUCUACACUAGCCUGUUGCCCUGUUGGUGUACAAGAAAGUCUUAGAAAAACACUAACCUGUUGCCCUAGACUUGUUGUGCUCUAUCUCUGCUGCUCAAUUUGCAUUUAGUACAGCAGUACUUUAAUCAUCUGGUACGACAACGAGUGUUGCAAUUUUAUUUAUUUUUCAGUUUUCCUUAUGUAUUACUGUCAGUAUUGCCAUCUUCAUUGCUGAUUAAAACUUAUUUUCCUGGUGCCAGUAGAAAAUCCAAAACAUGUACAGUAAUAUGGAGUUUCCACAGGCGUGAAUCCUGGGAACUGUACCCUAAUUUUGGUAGUUGAUGCCAAAUUAUGUACUACUGAUAUGUUUGAUCAGAUGUUGACUUGUCUGAAUCUCUAAUUCUGAAUAUGUGUCACUUUCUACAUGUGCUCUACUGGAGACUCAGUUCAGCCUGCAACUUGUGUAAUCCUCAAACAUAUGACUGCAGGACAAGUUCUUUGCAGCAUGUGUUGCACUGUAAAUUCAGUUGAGCCUGUCACCGGUGUGACGGAAGAAUUUGUGGCUGGUGACAGCAUCAGGCCCAUGUCAUGUUUGCCUACCUAUGUUGUGCGUCAGGUCAAGCGUCUCUAAACAAUCAUCAUUUGGUGCCUUGCUGGUGUGGUCAUGUAUAAAUAAGCAACAUAGUGGAGUUGCCGGUGCUGGUUGGUUGUGUGCUGUUGUGGGUCAGAGCAUGUGCACCAGAUCCAAAGGAAGUUACCAAGGCAUCAGACCUUUACUCCCCAGAUUCUGCAAGAUAGGCUGGGUUUUCAGUUCUGUAACCGGCGAAGGAUGAAAUAUCAUUCGAGUAUAUUGUCUGGCCUUAUAUUCGGCACCUUAAAGAUCUUAUUGAUCCAGUUUCUGAAUCAACAUUUUUGCCUUAUUGGUGUUUUGGUUGGAACGAAGUGGUCAUAAUUCAGUGCAAUAGCUGGGCAACAAGGUCGUAUGAAUAUAGUGUAGUAGGUUGAGACUUGAGAAUUGCAGUGCUUUGUUUGUUUUUUUGUUGCUCUCAUCAGUCUUCAUUUAGUGAGACUUGAGACUUGCAUUGCAGUGAUCAGCUGGAACAUCGGCAACAAUUAGAGUGUUAUGUUUUCCUACUUUUUCCUUGUACUGCUUUAAGAGUUUACUCCCUUUUAGGAACGAAUCCUGGAAACUGUACCUUUUAGGCCAAAUUCGUCUUCUAUAUAUCUAUUGUCGUCA